rnacentral:rRNA from 1 species
CCCGACUGCUAUCAGAGUGGGACUAAGCCAUGCGAGUCAACAUAGCAAUAUGUGGCAUACGGCUCAGUAACACGUAGUCAACAUGCCCAGGGGACGUGGAUAACCUCGGGAAACUGAGGAUAAACCGCGAUAGGUCAUCACUUCUGGAAUGGGUAAUGACUUAAACCUAUAUGGCCCCUGGAUUGGACUGCGGCCGAUCAGGCUGUUGGUGAGGUAAUGGCCCACCAAACCUGUAACCGGUACGGGCUCUGAGAGGAGGAGCCCGGAGAUGGGCACUGAGACAAGGGCCCAGGCCCUAUGGGGCGCAGCAGGCGCGAAACCUCUGCAAUAGGCGAAAGCUUGACAGGGUUACUCUGUGUGAUUUCCGUUAAGGAGAUCUUUUGGCACCUCUAAAAAUGGUGCAGAAUAAGGGGUGGGCAAGUCUGGUGU